GUUAACGAGUCCAAAAUGGGACGAAACGCGCGUCCUGAAU
rnacentral:hammerhead_ribozyme from 1 species